rnacentral:rRNA from 1 species
UACGAAGGGGGCUAGCGUUGUUCGGAAUUACUGGGCGUAAAGCGCGCGCAGGCGGUCUUCCAAGUCAGUGGUGAAAGCCCGGAGCUCAACUCCGGAACUGCCAUUGAAACUGGGAGCCUUGAGUUCGGGAGAGGUGAGUGGAACUGCGAGUGUAGAGGUGAAAUUCGUAGAUAUUCGCAAGAACACCAGUGGCGAAGGCGGCUCACUGGCCCGGAACUGACGCUGAGACGCGAAAGCGUGGGGAGCAAACAGG